AUUGAACGCUGGCGGGCAGGCCUAACACAUGCAAGUCGAGCGGCAGCGACUUAACUGAACCUUCGGGGAACGUUAAGGGCGGCGAGCGGCGGACGGGUGAGUAAUGCCUGGGAAUAUGCCCUGAUGUGGGGGAUAACUAUUGGAAACGAUAGCUAAUACCGCAUAAUCUCUUCGGAGCAAAGAGGGGGACCUUCGGGCCUCUCGCGUCAGGAUUAGCCCAGGUGGGAUUAGCUUGUUGGUGAGGUAAUGGCUCACCAAGGCAACGAUCCCUAGCUGGUCUGAGAGGAUGAUCAGCCACACUGGAACUGAGACACGGUCCAGACUCCUACGGGAGGCAGCAGUGGGGAAUAUUGCACAAUGGGGGAAACCCUGGUGCAGCCAUGCCGCGUGUGUGAAGAAGGCCUUCGGGUUGUAAAGCACUUUCAGUAGGGAGGAAGGUAGUGUAGUUAACACCUGCACUAUUUGACGUUACCUACAGAAGAAGCACCGGCUAACUCCGUGCCAGCAGCCGCGGUAAUACGGAGGGUGCGAGCGUUAAUCGGAAUUACUGGGCGUAAAGCGCAUGCAGGCGGCCUGUUAAGUCAGAUGUGAAAGCCCGGGGCUUAACCUCGGAAUUGCAUUUGAAACUGGCAGGCUAGAGUCUUGUAGAGGGGGGUAGAAUUUCAGGUGUAGCGGUGAAAUGCGUAGAGAUCUGAAGGAAUACCAGUGGCGAAGGCGGCCCCCUGGACAAAGACUGACGCUCAGAUGCGAAAGCGUGGGGAGCAGACAGG
rnacentral:rRNA from 1 species